AUGUCGCGGCGGAGGCUCGGGGUGGGGUGGGGGCGCGCGGCCGCCGCAGACCAGGUGUCUACGAGCCGCAAGACACCCCACUUUCGUUUCAAUUACAUGGACAUCUCCCUUAGCCGCCUCUCACCCCACUUCUGGGCGCAGCGUGCUAAGCCUCCGCAGAGGGGCUGGCGCCUCGGGGGGCGUGGCGUGGGGGGCGUGGGCUCUCCAGCUGGGGCCCCUCGGGGGGUGGAGGCGGGGCCGAGACCCCCGCCCGACGUUGGUGGGGGUCGGGAAUGGGCGAGCCUGUCCGGCGGCCGACCCAGUUGCUCCAGCCGCCGGACGGAAGAACGGUCGGCGCUGCGGAAGGUCGAGGGUCGUGCACCGCCGGCGCUGGGCGCCCGCCCCGCAGUCUCCGCCCUGCAGGCGGCGGCCUCUCUCCCGGCCGCAGAGCCGGCGCGGCGCGUGUGGGCGUCGAUCUCCGCGCGCACCGGCGCCCCACCCUCGUGCCGCGACGAGCUCCUGCCCGACGCUGAUAAGGACCCGGCUGGGGCUCCGCGCGGCCCGCGGGGCCGCCCUCUCGGGUUCAGUUUGCUGCCCCCAGCGCGGCUUCCGGGGGUUUCCAGCUGGUGGCUUGUUGGCAUUCUUCCUCCGUUCUCUGGUGUUGGUCUCGGACGUCUGUGAAUGUUUACAUUGUGCUGCAGAUUGAAGGCGCUGACUGGGAACGCGUUGUCCUGGGUUCUUUCACUACUGCCUGGAAUACGGGCAGAUGGAACACAGACGACGGAACUCACAGAAGAGUUGGACGGUCCGGCUCUGGCCCGACUGUGUAGUUGUACCGACUGACAUUCUGUGUUUAAUAAUCAAGAAAAGUUUUGAAAGAUAAGUGGUGGUGGAGGAGCCUUUUCCUGAAUUAGUGUAGUGAGAGUAAGAAUUCCAGUUUAGAAUUGUCCAUACUUUCCCCAUCCUUUUCUUCUCUCCCAAAUGCAAUAAAAUAGGGCUGUGUGUUUCUCUACGUCUGCUC
rnacentral:lncRNA from 1 species